rnacentral:tRNA from 1 species
GCCUCUGUAGCUCAGUUAAUUAGAGCGCUGCAACGGAAUCGCAGGGCCGUAGGUUCAAUUCCUACCAGAGGACA